rnacentral:rRNA from 1 species
UGGUGGAGCGAUUUGUCUGGUUAAUUCCGAUAACGAACGAGACUCUGACCUACUAAAUAGUUGGCAGUUCAGUACGACUGCAAAACUUCUUAGAGGGACUAGCGGUGCUAACCGCACGAGAUUGAGCAAUAACA